rfam:Gossypium raimondii Chr11_contig_874, whole genome shotgun sequence.
UCAGUGGAGUUUUUAAACUCCAUAAACAAGAUCAAAAGGUUGACA